AUGGCGGCGGUUCGGUGCGCGGCGAGGAGGUUUAGUGGCUCCCUGCUCCAGCGAACGCAGGCGAUGGUCACGGAGGAGGGACGCCGGCUCACGCCAAGCAGGCUCAUGCGCUCCCGCGAGCUCUCCAGUAAGGUCUCCGGUGAGGUGGCGGAGCGACUCCUCCUCGAGCCAGGCAGCCUCAUGCGCUCCCGCCAGCUCUCCAGCCAGCAUGCUCGCAACAUCGAGAAGAAAGAGGAUGACUGCUGGGCGGGGUUCAAUGAGACGUUAAAGAGGUUGGACGAGCUUCAAAAAAAGAAGAAACCAAGUGUUUUUCAGCAGCGCAUGAUAUCCAUCGACCGUGCGUUGAAGAGUUUAGUCUAUGAAUCUUUCAAGCUGACAGUUGUGUAUGUGGCUGCUGCUGCUGCUUUCUCUGGCAAUGGACUAGAAGCCUAG
rnacentral:rRNA from 1 species